UUUUUCACAUUUUAUUGUCAUGUAGCGCGGGGCGCUGGUCUUGGGCUUGACUUGGUCUCGGGUUAGGUGCAACG